AGUGAACGCUGGCGGUAGGCCUAACACAUGCAAGUCGAACGGCAGCACAGUAAGAGCUUGCUCUUACGGGUGGCGAGUGGCGGACGAGUGAGGAAUACAUCGGAAUCUACUUUUUCGUGGGGGAUGACGUAGGGAAACUUACGCUAAUACCGCAUACGACCUACGGGUGAAAGCAGGGGAUCUUCGGACCUUGCGCGAUUGAAUGAGCCGAUGUCGGAUUAGCUAGUUGGCGGGGUAAAGGCCCACCAAGGCGACGAUCCGUAGCUGGUCUGAGAGGAUGAUCGGCCACACUGGAACUGAGACACGGUCCAGACUCCUAAGGGAGGCAGCAGUGGGGAAUAUUGGACAAUGGGCGCAAGCCUGAUCCAGCCAUACCGCGUGGGUGAAGAAGGCCUUCGGGUUGUAAAGCCCUUUUGUUGGGAAAGAAAAGCAGCAGGUUAAUACCCCGCUGUUCUGACGGUACCCAAAGAAUAAGCACCGGCUAACUUCGUG
rnacentral:rRNA from 1 species